UCUGGCGACUAUGGCGAGAAGGUCACACCCGUUCCCAUCCCGAACACGGAAGUUAAGCUUCUCAGCGCCGAUGGUAGUUGGGGCGUAAGCC
rnacentral:rRNA from 1 species